CCCAUUGCUUCCUCUUCGAUUCAGUUUCUCUGUCUUCAGAUUGUACAUUCACGACCUAUGAAGCUAACAUGAAUGAGUAUUUUAAGCAUUUUUAUAUGGCUAUUGGAGUGUCAAUUGAGGGUUGGAAACAUGGCGGACCCAAUAUAUCUAUUGAUGACGCGUUCUUGAAAUGUAAAUAUGCUGGAAAUCUUUUGAUGGCUUCAACAGUUGAUGUUAAACGCUUGGAAGACCAUGAAAACAAAGAAUAUUGUCGUUUGGUGAAAGGAAAAGCAACUUGAAGUGCAAUCGAUGUCAUGUUCAUAGCCAUAAUUGUAGGACAUGCAAAUUGCCACCAGUUGUUUGAUGAUAUUAAAGAAGCUUGUUUUGUCAUAAUUUAUCAAUAAUACUUAGUGUGACAACUUGUUUUGUCACUGAUGUUUAUUAAUUUAUCAAUUAUAGACAGUGAGACAAUUUGUUUUUCUUGUUAAUGUUUGUCAAUUUUUUUUAGGGUUGAUACCCUAAAUCUCGUGGUCUUGUAGUUUGUAAACUUUAUUU